rnacentral:rRNA from 1 species
AUUCCGGUUGAUCCUGCCGGAGGACAUUGCUAUUGGGAUUCGAUUUAGCCAUGCUAGUCGAGCGAGUUUAGACUCGCGGCGAAUAGCUCAGUAACACGUGGCCAAGCUCCCCUUCAGUCAGCGAUACCCUCGGGAAACUGAGGUUAACAGCUGAUACAAAACGCCAGCUGGAAUGCGGCGUUUCAGAAAGACAUCGCUGAAGGAUGCGGCUGCGGCCGAUUAGGUAGACGGUGGGGUAACGGCCCACCGUGCCAGUAAUCGGUACGGGUGAUGAGAGUCAGAGCCCGGAGACGGAAUCUGAGACAAGAUUCCGGGCCCUACGGGGCGCAGCAGGCGCGAAACCUUUACACUGCACGGAAGUGCGAUAGGGGAAUCCCAAGUGCGAGGGCAUAUUAGCCCUCGCUUUUCUCGACCGUAAGGUGGUCGACGAAUAAGAGCUGGGCAAGACCGGUGCCAGCCGCCGCGGUAAUACCGGCAGCUCAAGUGAUGUCCCAUAUUAUUGGGCCUAAAGCGUCCGUAGCU